UACGGGGGGAGCAAGGCGUUGUUCGGAUUUACUGGGCGUAAAGGGCGCGUAGGCGGCCAGCACAAGUCAGUUGUGAAAUCUCCGAGCUUAACUCGGAAAGGUCAACUGAUACUGUGCGGCUAGAGUGCGGAAGGGGCAACUGGAAUUCUUGGUGUAGCGGUGAAAUGCGUAGAUAUCAAGAGGAACACCGGUGGCGAAGGCGGGUCUCUGGGCCGAUACUGACGCUGAGGCGCGAAAGCCAGGGGAGCGAACGGG
rnacentral:rRNA from 1 species